GCCUCUGUAGCUCAGUUGGUUAGAGCGCUGUAUCGGAAUCGCAGGGCCGUAGGUUCAAUUCCUACCAGAGGAC